rnacentral:tRNA from 1 species
GCCAGCGUAGCUCAGUGGAAGAGCAGCGCUUUCGUAAAGCGCGGGCCGUGGGUUCGAAUCCCUCCGCUGGCU